CCCACUGAUGUCCUCCUGUAAGCAGGGGAUGCUACCCUCAGGGGAAACUGCAGCACCUAAAAGAUCUUGCUGUCCUGUACUGUACGGCUGUUUUCAAAGCGCGUUCAACAAGUGCAGCUCCUGAAAUACGUGUUCCUUCGGCAAAUCUUGAUGAAUACUCGCUUUGUGCAGAGCGCUGCUCUUGGGAACACAGGAGUGAACCGGAGGGAAGAGGGCCCAAGGUUCUCUCUGGCGAGGAACCUCUGAAAUAGCACUGAUGCUUAAUCAUUCAUCCAAGACUCCUUCUCGCAACACCUGUUUUUGCCUCUAGACAUCUUAUUAUGUCUGCAUCGGAUGUGUAUCAAGAAAGUGCUGAUGGUAGGAAGACUACACACCUUAGAUAAAUCCACAGAGGAAGAGCGUGCUGGGGAACCCUCGUAGAGAUCUCCCCCGCUCUGAAGUCUGACUGCUACACUGGCCUCUUGAGGAUUUCAGAUGCUCCUGGUCAUGUCUGCCACCCGGCUUUCAGCACUGACGUCCCGCUUCACCCGAGUCCCCCAUCCUCUGCCAAGGCCUGCAUUCCUGCCUUGCACAAGUCCAGCUGUGCACAGGUGUCAGGAAAUCGAAUUCAAGUGCAGAGUGAGGGAGCAUUUUCUCUCAGCUAUGACAUGAGGCUCUGCCUGCUGCGUGGCCACAACUGUUCUCCGUAAAACGUGCUUCCUGGGGUGAUGGACUGCCCUGCCUCGGGUUCAAAAAAUGAAGCAAAUUUUGCUUUACUAAUUUAGUUCACAUAUGACAAUAAAUCCCAGAAAUAUGUCUUAUGUAUAUUUUGAAUUACCUUUUGCAGACAAACACAAAAACAUGGUCAACAUUUGCAAUAAAAUUAUCAUAGAAAUGCCAUCUCAAAUCUUAUUUUCUUUUUUCCAAUGUGCAUUUCACAAAUAACUUGUAUUAAAAUUAUGUUUUACAGAGUAGAAAUAGAAAACA